AAUAUAUCUGGUGGGCAUCUUCUUGUUAGAUCUUUGAAUCUCUCCCAGGCCUCAUAGAGUGUUUCUCCAUCAUGCUGCCUGAAAGUUUGCACCUCAGUUCUCAUCCU